rnacentral:rRNA from 1 species
CACACUAUCAUUAACUGAAUCCAUAGGUUAAUGAGGCGAACCGGGGGAACUGAAACAUCUAAGUACCCCGAGGAAAAGAAAUCAACCGAGAUUCCCCCAGUAGCGGCGAGCGAACGGGGAGGAGCCCAGAGCCUGAAUCAGUGUGUGUGUUAGUGGAAGCGUCUGGAAAGGCGCGCGAUACAGGGUGACAGCCCCGUACACAAAAAUGCACAUGCUGUGAGCUCGAUGAGUAGGGCGGGACACGUGGUAUCCUGUCUGAAUAUGGGGGGACCAUCCUCCAAGGCUAAAUACUCCUGACUGACCGAUAGUGAACCAGUACCGUGAGGGAAAGGCGAAAAGAACCCCGGCGAGGGGAGUGAAAAAGAACCUGAAACCGUGUACGUACAAGCAGUGGGAGCACGCUUAGGCGUGUGACUGCGUACCUUUUGUAUAAUGGGUCAGCGACUUAUAUUCUGUAGCAAGGUUAACCGAAUAGGGGAGCCGAAGGGAAACCGAGUCUUAACUGGGCGUUAAGUUGCAGGGUAUAGACCCGAAACCCGGUGAUCUAGCCAUGGGCAGGUUGAAGGUUGGGUAACACUAACUGGAGGACCGAACCGACUAAUGUUGAAAAAUUAGCGGAUGACUUGUGGCUGGGGGUGAAAGGCCAAUCAAACCGGGAGAUAGCUGGUUCUCCCCGAAAGCUAUUUAGGUAGCGCCUCGUGAAUUCAUCUCCGGGGGUAGAGCACUGUUUCGGCAAGGGGGUCAUCCCGACUUACCAACCCGAUGCAAACUGCGAAUACCGGAGAAUGUUAUCACGGGAGACACACGGCGGGUGCUAACGUCCGUCGUGAAGAGGGAAACAACCCAGACCGCCAGCUAAGGUCCCAAAGUCAUGGUUAAGUGGGAAACGAUGUGGGAAGGCCCAGACAGCCAGGAUGUUGGCUUAGAAGCAGCCAUCAUUUAAAGAAAGCGUAAUAGCUCACUGGUCGAGUCGGCCUGCGCGGAAGAUGUAACGGGGCUAAACCAUGCACCGAAGCUGCGGCAGCGACGCUGAUGCGUUGUUGGGUAGGGGAGCGUUCUGUAAGCCUGCGAAGGUGUGCUGUGAGGCAUGCUGGAGGUAUCAGAAGUGCGAAUGCUGACAUAAGUAACGAUAAAGCGGGUGAAAAGCCCGCUCGCCGGAAGACCAAGGGUUCCUGUCCAACGUUAAUCGGGGCAGGGUGAGUCGACCCCUAAGGCGAGGCCGAAAGGCGUAGUCGAUGGGAAACAGGUUAAUAUUCCUGUACUUGGUGUUACUGCGAAGGGGGGACGGAGAAGGCUAUGUUGGCCGGGCGACGGUUGUCCCGGUUUAAGCGUGUAGGCUGGUUUUCCAGGCAAAUCCGGAAAAUCAAGGCUGAGGCGUGAUGACGAGGCACUACGGUGCUGAAGCAACAAAUGCCCUGCUUCCAGGAAAAGCCUCUAAGCAUCAGGUAACAUCAAAUCGUACCCCAAACCGACACAGGUGGUCAGGUAGAGAAUACCAAGGCGCUUGAGAGAACUCGGGUGAAGGAACUAGGCAAAAUGGUGCCGUAACUUCGGGAGAAGGCACGCUGAUAUGUAGGUGAAGCGACUUGCUCGUGGAGCUGAAAUCAGUCGAAGAUACCAGCUGGCUGCAACUGUUUAUUAAAAACACAGCACUGUGCAAACACGAAAGUGGACGUAUACGGUGUGACGCCUGCCCGGUGCCGGAAGGUUAAUUGAUGGGGUUAGCGCAAGCGAAGCUCUUGAUCGAAGCCCCGGUAAACGGCGGCCGUAACUAUAACGGUCCUAAGGUAGCGAAAUUCCUUGUCGGGUAAGUUCCGACCUGCACGAAUGGCGUAAUGAUGGCCAGGCUGUCUCCACCCGAGACUCAGUGAAAUUGAACUCGCUGUGAAGAUGCAGUGUACCCGCGGCAAGACGGAAAGACCCCGUGAACCUUUACUAUAGCUUGACACUGAACAUUGAGCCUUGAUGUGUAGGAUAGGUGGGAGGCUUUGAAGUGUGGACGCCAGUCUGCAUGGAGCCGACCUUGAAAUACCACCCUUUAAUGUUUGAUGUUCUAACGUUGACCCGUAAUCCGGGUUGCGGACAGUGUCUGGUGGGUAGUUUGACUGGGGCGGUCUCCUCCUAAAGAGUAACGGAGGAGCACGAAGGUUGGCUAAUCCUGGUCGGACAUCAGGAGGUUAGUGCAAUGGCAUAAGCCAGCUUGACUGCGAGCGUGACGGCGCGAGCAGGUGCGAAAGCAGGUCAUAGUGAUCCGGUGGUUCUGAAUGGAAGGGCCAUCGCUCAACGGAUAAAAGGUACUCCGGGGAUAACAGGCUGAUACCGCCCAAGAGUUCAUAUCGACGGCGGUGUUUGGCACCUCGAUGUCGGCUCAUCACAUCCUGGGGCUGAAGUAGGUCCCAAGGGUAUGGCUGUUCGCCAUUUAAAGUGGUACGCGAGCUGGGUUUAGAACGUCGUGAGACAGUUCGGUCCCUAUCUGCCGUGGGCGCUGGAGAACUGAGGGGGGCUGCUCCUAGUACGAGAGGACCGGAGUGGACGCAUCACUGGUGUUCGGGUUGUCAUGCCAAUGGCACUGCCCGGUAGCUAAAUGCGGAAGAGAUAAGUGCUGAAAGCAUCUAAGCACGAAACUUGCCCCGAGAUGAGUUCUCCCUGACUCCUUGAGAGUCCUGAAGGAACGUUGAAGACGACGACGUUGAUAGGCCGGGUGUGUAAGCGCAGCGAUGCGUUGAGCUAACCGGUACUAAUGAACCGUGAGGCUUAACCUUACAACGCCGAAG